CCUACGGGAGGCAGCAGUGGGGAAUAUUGGGCAAUGGGCGCAAGCCUGACCCAGCAACGCCGCGUGAAGGAAGAAGGCUUUCGGGUUGUAAACUUCUUUUCUCAGGGACGAAGAAAGUGACGGUACCUGAGGAAUAAGCCACGGCUAACUACGUGCCAGCAGCCGCGGUAAUACGUAGGUGGCAAGCGUUAUCCGGCUUUAUUGGGUGUAAAGGUCGUGUAGGCGGGAGCGCAAGUCAGAUGUGAAAACUCAGGGGUCAAACCUGAGCCUGCAUUUGAAACUGUGUUUCUUGAGUGCUGGAGAGGCAAUCGGAAGUCCGUGUGUAGCGGUGAAAUGCGUAGAUAGACGGAGGAACACCAGUGGCGAAGGCGGAUUGCUGGACAGUAACUGACGCUGAGGCGCGAAAGCGUGGGGAGCAAACAGGAUUAGAUACCCCAGUAGUC
rnacentral:rRNA from 1 species